rnacentral:lncRNA from 1 species
UGCUUGAUAACUUUUCUUCUUCUUGGAUGCAUAUUUUUCAGAUUUUUUUGUUGUGGCCUUUUGGGAUUUGUCCUUUGAGCUAGUGGCCACUGUCCUCUUCUUCUUUUUGACCAUGGCUUUCCUUUUCUCUGUUUGUGCUAUUGUCUCUUCAAACAGUGGGGGUCCCUCUGUUACAGACUCAGUUUCUUUAUAAUCUGCAUC